rnacentral:rRNA from 1 species
UAUCUGAGACCGGCGCACGGGUGCGUAACACGUAUGCAAUCUACCUCUCACAGAGGGAUAGCCCAGAGAAAUUUGGAUUAAUACCUCAUAGUAUAAUGAUUUGGCAUCAAGACAUUAUUAAAGUCACAACGGUGAAAGAUGAGCAUGCGUCCCAUUAGCUAGUUGGUAUGGUAACGGCAUACCAAGGCGACGAUGGGUAGGGGUCCUGAGAGGGAGAUCCCCCACACUGGUACUGAGACACGGACCAGACUCCUACGGGAGGCAGCAGUGAGGAAUAUUGGACAAUGGGCGCAAGCCUGAUCCAGCCAUGCCGCGUGCAGGAUGACGGUCCUAUGGAUUGUAAACUGCUUUUGCACAGGAAGAAACAACGCUACGUGUAGCGUCUUGACGGUACUGUGAGAAUAAGGAUCGGCUAACUCCGUGCCAGCAGCCGCGGUAAUACGGAGGAUCCAAGCGUUAUCCGGAAUCAUUGGGUUUAAAGGGUCCGUAGGCGGUUUAGUAAGUCAGUGGUGAAAGCCCUGGGCUCAAUCCAGGAAGUGCAUCUGAUACUGAUUGACUGGAGUGCAGGAGAGGAAAGCGGAAUUCCAGGUGUAGAGGUGAAAUUCGUAGAUAUCUGGAGGAACAACAGAAGCGAAGGCGGCUUUCUGGACUGUCACUGACGCUGAGGAGCGAAAGCGUGGGGAGCAAACAGGAUUAGAUACCCUGGUAGUCCACGCUGUAAACGAUGGAUACUAGAUGUCG